AUUGAACGCUGGCGGCAUGCCUUACACAUGCAAGUCGAACGGCAGCACGGGGGCAACCCUGGUGGCGAGUGGCGAACGGGUGAGUAAUACAUCGGAACGUGCCCAGUAGUGGGGGAUAGCCCGGCGAAAGCCGGAUUAAUACCGCAUGCGACCUACGGGUGAAAGCGGGGGAUCGCAAGACCUCGCGCUGUUGGAGCGGCCGAUGUCAGAUUAGGUUGUUGGUGGGGUAAAGGCCACCAAGCCGACGAUCUGUAGCUGGUCUGAGAGGACGACCAGCCACACUGGGACUGAGACACGGCCCAGACUCCUACGGGAGGCAGCAGUUGGGAAUAUUGGGCAAUGGGCGCAAGCCUGACCCAGCGACACCGCGUGGGGACGAAGGCCUCCGGGUUGUAAACCCCUGUCAUGAGGGACGAAGCCG
rnacentral:rRNA from 1 species